rnacentral:ncRNA from 1 species
UCAGGUGCCUGAAAAGGCUUAAUAGGGAAGACCGGUGCAAUACCGGCGCGGUCCCGCCACUGUAACGGAGAGCGACUCUGCAAGCGCGUUGCGACAGCAAUGCCAUCCACUGGGAUAAAACCUGGGAAGGAGCAGGGAAGUGAUGAACCGGAGCCAGGAGAACUGCCUGUACUGUA